rnacentral:rRNA from 1 species
AGCUGGUCUGAGAGGAUGAUCAGCCACACUGGAACUGAGACACGGUCCAGACUCCUACGGGAGGCAGCAGUGGGGAAUAUUGCACAAUGGGCGCAAGCCUGAUGCAGCCAUGCCGCGUGUGUGAAGAAGGCCUUCGGGUUGUAAAGCACUUUCAGUCGUGAGGAAGGUAGUGUAGUUAAUAGCUGCAUUAUUUGACGUUAGCGACAGAAGAAGCACCGGCUAACUCCGUGCCAGCAGCCGCGGUAAUACGGAGGGUGCGAGCGUUAAUCGGAAUUACUGGGCGUAAAGCGCAUGCAGGUGGUUUGUUAAGUCAGAUGUGAAAGCCCGGGGCUCAACCUCGGAAUUGCAUUUGAAACUGGCAGACUAGAGUACUGUAGAGGGGGGUAGAAUUUCAGGUGU